AUUUCUGCUCCACGUCGUGUGGAGACAGAUCAUCUGACAUGUGAGAUCUGGAGCCUUUCAUCGAAAAACAAAGUUAGAAAACUUUCUUUUUAUAAACUGUAAAUGGAGAGGACGCUCAGGGUUAAGUUUUGAAGGUGUGCUUUCGCUUAAAAUCAUUUUCAGGACCUCCAUAUAACCGUGAACGCGUUGCCUACUAACAUUAGAUAUCUUAUUUACACGUAUGGAUAAAAUACUGGAGGUUUCUGAAUCGACCGAGGGCACCGGGACAUUUCAUUAUGUGGAUACUUCAUCAUCUGAGAGACUGGAGGACGAACGUCGACUUCAAAUAAUCCAGGUGAGACUGGAGACUGACUGUGCCACCCUGCCAAAGAACGCCAUGCUAACCGAAGGUUCAGUGAGCUGAGGAAAGGACCAUGCAGAGUGCCACAACAGACUCUUCUUCCUUGGACCUUGUAUGCUGACAGAUCGCACCAGCGUUAAAGAGCACACCACCAGCUUCCCGUACUAGAUCCGUAGAAACGGUCGGUCUGUGAGGUGAAGUCUGACGUCACUCUUCUGCACCGUUCACAUUGCUCUGUUCUGUCCUGUCAUGUUUAACUUGUCUUUGAAGUUUUUUUAACCUUGUGUUUGUUUCUGUCAUUACUGUUAUCCCUGACCCUUUAUGCCUUUAGCCAUGUCGUCACUGUAAAUAAGAGUUUGUUCUUAAUGAUUUACCUGGUUAAAUAAAGGUUAAAUAAAAUAAAUAAAAAAUUAA